AUUGAACGCUGGCGGCAGGCCUAACACAUGCAAGUCGAGCGAGCGGCGGACGGGUGAGUAAUGUAUGGGGACUGCCCGAUAGAGGGGGAUAACUACUGGAAACGGUAGCUAAUACCGCAUACUAUCGGAUAACCCAUAUGGGAUUAGCUAGUAGGUGAGGUAAUGGCUCAACUAGGCGACGAUCCCUAGCUGGUCUGAGAGGAUGAUCAGCCACACUGGAACUGAGAAACGGCCCAGACUCCUACGGAGGCAGAAGUGGGGAAUAUUGCACAAGGGGCGCAAGCCUGAUGCAGCCAUCCCGCGUGUAUUAUGAAGGCCUUCGGAUGGUAAAGGACUUUUGGCAGAGAAGCGGUAUCUGCAGAAUAAGCACCGGCUAACUACGUGCCAGCAGCCGCGGUAAUAC
rnacentral:rRNA from 1 species